rnacentral:tRNA from 2 species
GCCGGGGUGUCGGAAUCGGCAGACGAGGCGGACUUAAAAUCCGCUGGGCGUAGCCCGUGUGGGUUCGAGGCCCACCCCCGGCACCG